AUCCCGAGAAAGUUUCGCGAGAUCCCGAGAAACUUUCUCGGGAUCCCGAGAAACUUUUUCGGGAUCUCGCGGAGAAUCACAAUUCACAACCCACGACGGAGGAGCUGCUAUGUACGGAGCCCUCCGUUGCUAUGGAGGAGGAUUUGGAACAUUUCCUGCGGUCAAGAGACGUCCCUCAAGAGGCUGUACUCAACAUGAAACGGGACAAGGACAAUGAACUGAAUUUCUUUCCACAAGACUUGCCUUCAUAUUCAAGCAGCCAGCUUUCCCCAUCACCCUCCGCUGAUACCUCAGGAGAUCCAGAUAGGCCACGACGUGCAUCUAUUCGCAGGAUAAAGGUUGUUGAAGAUCUAUUAGCUGUAUUUAUGGACAGCAGCUUAAUGAAUGUAACUCUAAAGAUGGACUUUGUAAAUGAAAAAGCUCUUGAUGAUGCUGGUGUGUCAAGGGAGAUUUACACUGCAUUUUGGGAGCAAUUUCUUGAACAGUGCGAAGGUGAAGCAGAGCGCGUUCCAAGGCUGAGGCCAGAUUUUGGUGAGGAUGAAUGGCAAGCGAUUGGACGGAUAUGGGUGAAAGGAUUACUUGACCAUGGUGUCUUUCCAGUGAGGAUCUCAAAAGCUUUUAUUUUAGCUUGCAUCUAUGGUAUUGACUCAGUGGAUGCAGACACCCUCAUGACAUCUUUUCUUAACUACCUUCCUCCUCUUGAGAGAGCAGCUGUUGAGAAGGCUCUCCAGGGAUCAAUGGAAGAAAGUGAUGAAGAGGAUCUGCUUGAUCUGUUUGUAAGGAUGGGUUCCCAUUGCCUACCGCCAAAGAACAAUAUCAAGGCUGCCAUCCAAACAAUGGCUCAUAAAGUAAUUCUUCAAGAACCAAAGUAUAUUGUUGAUUGUUUCUCCACACCCAUGGCACUCAUACAGAGAAAACUGUCAAACAGAGAGAGUGUAUUGUCUCUAUAUGAGUCAAAGAAGGCCACAGGUAAAAGAGUAUCACAGCUGCUUGAAACAACAAAAAUGGUGCUGUCUCAGAGAGAGCAAACAACCUUUAACCAUUUCCAGCGUUACGUGAAAAAUGCUGACCAAGUCCAAGCUGAAAAAAUCCUUCGUUUCUGCACUGGCUCAUCUGUCAUAUGUACUGACAAAAUUAUGGUAUGCUUUAAUGCUGAAACUGGGCUCAACAGGAGACCUAUUGCUCACACCUGUGGAGCAACCCUUGAACUACCAUGCACUUAUGGUUCCUACCCUGAAUUUCGCACAGAGUUUGACAACAUCCUGUCCAGCAACCACCUUGAAAUGAAUAUUCUUUGACUUGGAGAAAAGUCCUUGUAAGGGCCUAAGACAAACAGGCAUCACAUGGUAUGAAAUUUUAUAUAUUAUUUAUUGUUUUUGUUACUUUUUUGUUUCUUUUGUAAUGCAAACAUACAAUGUGAUGUGGUUUGCCACCUACAAUUC
ensembl:lncRNA